rnacentral:lncRNA from 1 species
GUAAUUUUAUGAAUAGCUUGCUUUAACUUAAAAUAUUUCCAGUCAAAAGUGUAGCACAUAGAACCUCACGGUCAACGUCAUUGUGCAGAAUGACUGUACUUGACACAUUAGUUGAAUUCAUAAAAAUCUUGCACAUAAAGUGAGCAUUUUAAAAGAGAAUCAUGUUUUCUAUUCACUUCUAUAAUUAGUCAGGUUAAGUGUCACAUGGGAAAAAUAAGUGGCCCAGUGCAUAAUUUUUUUUAAAAAAUUAAGAAUUGCAACUCUCACUUCAGUGAUAAUGAUGCAUUUAUCUAUAGACACAUUGUGUGCAUUAAUUGCCCCCAAGAAAAGCCAAUAAGAAGUGAAUCCAAUUAAACAGCAGAUAGUUUGGAAGCAAAUGCUCUGUAUAAACCACUGGUGGAAGCUGAAGGAAGCUCUGAGAGUGUAAGUUAGGACUUGUUCUCCUAGUUAAGAGUGCACAGCAGAAAAGGUAGGACUGAGUACACAGACAUUUAAACAACAGCUCAUGAUAUUCACAUGUAUUCUCUGCAGAACUGCAUUAAUGAUUUAUAAUAAAAUAUACCAUACUUUCCCUUCUAUUUACAGGACUCGGAGUGGGUACCACAUUCUCAUAUAGUUGCCUAAAUAGGAUUAAUGUAGGAGCUUUUCAUCUGGAUAAGGAAUACAGAUGUCGUUAAGCAAAUUGACUAGUUAAAACAGUAACUGUUUGCUUUGGGGUAAAAAUGCAUGUUCCUAUUCUUUUAAACAGACUUUUAAAGAAUGAUUGUUUUUGCUACAAACUUUCCUACCAAAACACUUGUUGAGCUAAUGAACAUUUCUAAGUAGAACUUUGGUGUUAAGCAGUGGAGGAAUGGCCUUUGCAGAUAUUGUUAAACCCCCAGUACCAACUUUGGGUGCCGUGCUUUCUUCAAGUUUGUAAUUCUGAGUUUAUUUUUACUUAGGGAAUCUUUUCAAGUUGUCCAAAAUGUAACCAUAAUAAAUUCGAUAUCACUGUCUGUUUAGCAUGCAACUAAUCAUGAUCAAGGAGAGGUAACAUUGGAGACUUAAAGAAAAUACAUCCAUAAUUACCAUUUUAGUUUUAACCUGACUGAUUAGAAUUGUUGGGAGGGACCAUGGAUGUAUGAACAACAUCAUGUGAAAACAAAUAUAUAUAAGCCAGCAUUCCCAGUGUGCUAUACGCACUUUCACUCUCCUGCUAAAGAGUAAGUAAUCAAAAUAGCAAUACCAACCAGGACCCGUAGUUCCCAAAGCACUCUGGAUAGAUCAUCCAUUUUAAUUCUUAGAACGACUAGUAAGUUUGCCAAGGCACAUGGUGUCCGCGUGUUGCAAGUAGGAAGUCUGUGAGGUUUAAAAGGACAGAUGAUGAGCUUGAGGACUCAAAGUUCUUAAAGCAGGCAUCUGCCUCUCCCGACUCACACACUGUGACAGGCUUGGCAGAAAUAGGGACCCAGGGUGAACCUUUACCAUGCCACAGCCAUCCUGCACGGCACAGAGGAACUACCAAAAUGUGAUGCAGAGGCUUUGCUCUUCAGAGGAAGGAAGCUCCCUCAGGCCACAGGGGCACUUGCUACAAUCCCGUGCAAGAAGGGGAAAAAAAAGAUAUUUAGCUGCCUUGUAUGAUGUGUUUUUUCCAACUUAAAAAGAAACCUUUGUAAAUAGGGAGUUUACAUUCAUCAAAUACUGUCAGAAUCCUGGUGGUUUCCUGUGAAAAGCAUGGUUAUAUCUAAUGGUUGUAUUAGUCCUUUCCUAUGAAGAAUGUAGACUUCUGUAUCUAAAACGGAUCUCAAUCCUAACUUGAACAAUCCUUCCCACCUAUUAGGAUUAUGCCUUUUCCUUUAAAAAUUAGGUGAACAUAAUCACUUUGGUUUCCUGGAGCAUAUGUUUCAAAAUGUUGUCUUGAAGGACUAGUGCUAAUGGAUUGCUUUGCGAAGCAGUGUGCACCUGGAAACUGAGGAAAAGUCGUGGACUGUGAAUGCAUAGGCCAUGGUCGUUUGUUGUCAGUACAGAGUGCAAAGCCGUCACUAAAUCCCGCAGUCCAUUUAACAGGGAGAGUUUCAGAUCAAAAAACUUGGCACUUAGUCCUAGAGUCCGGCAAUGCCAGGGCCUCUUACUUCGAUCACAUCCUUCAGUUGUGCACAAACAUCCAGUCAUCAUUGCAGCUUGAAACUCCCUAAGCCUUUUAUCAUUACUGCCCCAGAACCUCUGUCAAUGUGGAAUAUUCAGGUGUCCUCCGCACCUUGGUCCUACAACACUUGCAGUCCAAAUUGCAUUUCUUCCACAAUAAAUAAUUCUGAGCUAUGAAUUUUUCAUAUCUAUGUUUUUAAUUUCUUUUGCAUAAAUGGAACUUGUUCUCCCCUUAUUGGUGAUGAGAUUAAAAUCAUGGUCUAAGGCCACAUAGCAAGUUUUGAAGCCACAGUCGAGGCUAGCAGAUAACCUCACAAUCCAACAUGGUUUUUCUUAGCCUUGUUGAACUUCAGUUGGCAUUGGUUCUCAUUUGGACUUUAAAGUGACCUAACAGGCUUACCAAAUAUAGAUACUCUGGCAUCUACCACUGAGCAUCUAAUUGAGCAAGCCUAUAGUAAGGCCCAAGGAUUUGCAGUUCCAGCAGUUUCUAACCAACACUGAUGUUACUGUCUAGGGAGCAUUCUCGUAGGGGCACUGACCAACAGACUGCAUGCAGUAACUGGAUGGCAGAGUUUCAGUAAGACAAGGGGUUUUCUGACAGAAGUUAGCUGUACGUGUGCUGCCUUGAGCUCUUUAUUUCUGUUUCUGAACUCCAUUGGGAAAGAACGGGACAAAUAUGG